UGUGAGUACUGCUGUAUCUCUCUGCAAGAUCUUCCAGUAAAAUGAAAAUUUAAAAGAAAUAUCCUUUUUCUUGAAAAGCAAAAUGAGCCCCGAUGGUGCUCGCUUUCCUCAGCCCUAGUCCCAUGCUCUCUUGCAAUUUAAAAAUGCUUCUGGGUCACCAGCAUUAGAUUGGUUUCUUAAUCUUCAUCAUGUCUUCUUUCUGCAAACUUGGCUUUCUUCGUUUGUUUGCCUGAUGUAGUCUCAGAUCUUCAGCAUAGAGAUAGAGCCUUUUAUCUCCGUGAAGUGUCAUACAAAAUUAUGGUGGAGCGUAAAUAUUUAAUAAUAAUAUUAGCAAUGGGUAUUAGAGUCCUGGAGGAGCAUGUUUCCUCCCUUGCAAGAGGCAGAACAUAUAAUGGGGGCUUGUGCUCUUUCAAUGCCAUGGGAAAAGUUUCUCUGCUCCCAUUUUCCUGUUGUCACUCUUGUCUUCUUGCUGGGGCUGUUGGGACAUACUGGACGUGACUGGGAAUGGCUUGGUUAGUGCUAGGCGAAGGACUGCUCUUUCAGGCUGGUGGCCUGCUUGAGCCUCAAAAAGAAACUCAACUAAAAUAGGUUUCCUUAUUUUCUAGUUGGUGAAAUGAAAACCAAGGGAAGCAGUCAUACCUUCUGACACCUGUCCUAAGGCCUUAACCAUCUCUACUUGGAAGGAAAAUCGAAUGCAACUUCAAGUAAUUGCAAAAUCACGUUUUGGGACAGGAAAUCAAAACUUCUCAUCAAGAAAGCAUCACAACAAAAGUGUGGUGGUUUUCCCAAAACUCUCAUUUUUGGACAGUGCCUGUUGUGUCCUGCAAUCCCCAUUGUAGUGCCACUGGGAGGAUGUGCCACGGAUGGAGGUGGCCAGAGGCUGUGCUGUGGGACACGGGUGUACCUCGGGGGGACCAGGCGCGUGGAGCUCCAGGCUAACAGCUAAACCUGCGCAGCACUUGUAUCAUACAAGGGCCCUUCACAAAAAUGUUUUCCUUUAGCUGGGGAUAAGCUUAAUCUCUCAAGGGUCCUUCAGGAGUGAAGUACAGGGAGAAAUCCACUUUUUAUUUUACGUUUCAACAAUAAUCUUCUCACCACCGUGCAGAGGAGCAAUGUCAACAGCCUGCUGCAGGCAGGAGCCCAGCCACUGCUGCCACGGGAACAUCCAGGGGUGCCCCAACAGGGGACAGCCACGACCUCGGGGGCUGCCUUGGGGGCUGGAGGGACACUGCGGAAGUGCCAUGGUACAUGGGCUGCCAGCAGCUUGGGGCCAUCCCCAGCUCACAGCUCAUCUGUCCUUCUUGCUUCCCCCCUCUGAGCAGCCCAGAUCCCCAAGCGGCUUGGCUCUCUAACUAGAUCCCUUUUCUAGGAGGGGCUUUAUUGCCGUACCUUACUUAAAUCUGAAGUUUUCUAAUGAUUGUAGCAAAUAACAAUUAAUUUAACAUAAUUAAGGCAAAUAUACACACUAAAUUGCCAAGCACAACAUUUUUCUCAUUCAUUUAUGACUUAAUAGACAUCAGUGUAUAUGUUCAGUCUUUACUAAUUGCACAGUUGAUAAUUCUUUAUGACUUCGAGGAGUUCAACGUUUUCUGUCUUUACUUCACUGACUGCACCCUCUUAGUGUAAUCAUAGUCUUAAUUUUGUUUAACUUAUGCUAAAGCAAAAUAUGAAUCUAAACCACAGGAGGCAAAUAAAACACGUCAUUGUACAGUUCGCUACAUUUUAUAAAACCAUUUUACAACGGGAGCUAUCCACCCGUUCUGUUCAGUGGAAUAAAUGGGAUCUAACCACGCUUUAAGGACCGUGCUCAUCUUUAAACUGAUUAGUUUCUACCCUUAUUACAAAGCACAGACUGGGUCUAACGUCUCAUUUUAUAUACAAUUAAACAGGCGAGCCCUGCUGCCUCUAGCACAGUCAUUGCAUUGUUAUUAUUUACCUUGCUGGCUUUGCAGUACGAUUCCUGGGCUGCAGGCAGGAUCUGCCCCAAGGGGAUGCCCUGGGGACGUGGUGCUAUGGCAGAGAGAGAGGCAUCCUCCUGCUCCCUGCACCCGGCUGGGGAUGCAUUCCCCCUCGGCACCAGGCAUUGGAAAAGGAGCCAGCACCUUAACCCAGGGCUAGAUUUGGGUGGCCUGUACCUCGUCAGGUAUGACCAGUACGGGUCGGUGCUGCUCCUGCAGCGCUGUGGGGAUGCCAGACCUGCCCUGUGUGAGAUGCCUGCCUUCUGCGAAACUCCACCACAAAAAGGUGAGUCUGAAAUAUAGCACUUCCACUGAGACAAGAUAGAUAUAAUUUCCUAUGCACAAGGAAAAUGUCAAAUUUAUUUUAUUUUUUUGCCAUUUCUGAAGCUCCUCUCUGCUGGCCCAGCACACCCCAGACACUUCCACAGAAGAGGCAAUGAAUAAAUGUAAUGCAGAAAAACAAACAAAUAAACAAACAAAAACUUAAAAAAAAAAAAAAAGACCCCAAAC